GAAAGGACGAAGUCUGUAGCUUGGUGUUAGCAACGAUAUUAGUUCCUAGCUUCAGUUAGAGCUUAAUUUUAGGGUGACUGGUUAUUGGACUUUUCAACCUCCCUCUGUGAAACAUAAGCUUUUUGAAUAUGUUCAUCUUAAUGUAGUUGUUUCAAUAACAAAACAGGCUUAUUUUCUCUCUUUUUUUUUUUUUUUUUUUUUUUUUUUUUUUUUUUUUUUUUAAAUGCUUUUGAAAUUGUAACUCUUUUACCUAUAUGCAUAACAGUACUUUAAUGCAUCCAAUUGAACUUUGUUACAAGAACUAUCAUGAGAAAUAUUUUAUAGGGAUUAAGCAUCUAGCAAAUGACGAUUAUCUGAAGAAUUGGAAUCUUUUGUGGAAAUAUGAUGAUGGGAUGUACCGCUUGGAUACUAAAAGAAUUUGAGAAGCCGAUAUAGUUAUUGAGGUUGGAGAUGGAAUAUUUAAGAUCUGAUCUACCUUGGGUGACACUCAUCCAAGAAGCAAUGGUUUUGACAAGGUAUAGAUGACUUUACUGAGAAGGCACAGAUCUUCUGAAAGACAAGCAAGCUCUGGUCUUACAGAGAUUGCUGAGAAGGCAUAGAUGAAGUUGUCAUCUCUAACUUAGACUAAUAUUAGCCAUUUAGGAGCGUGAGGAAAUGACUAGAAAAGAGCCAAAUGUGACUGUAAAUCCUUAUGAAGUUGUUGCUCUUGGGGCUAUAGUUCAGGACUUGAAACUUUAGGUGGUGUGGUGGUAGAUUAUCUGAAGGAACCCAACCUUACCAAUUUCUGGGUUGUUUUCUUUUCCACUGCAGCAGAUGAAUAUAAACGAGUAUCAAGGUGAGAGUUUGUGAGGGACAACAUAUCUUGGAGUUGGCAUCUCACAUGUGUCACUUGGAGUUCCUCAAAUUUUGGUGAAAUUUGGUAUUGAUGCCGAUGGUAUUCUUUCGGUCACUGCAAUUGACAAGGGAAUUGGAAAGAAGCAUGAUAUCGCCAUAACUGGUACUAGCACCUUGCCAAGUGAAAAGGUGGAUAGGAUGGUUAAUGAAGCUGAAAAUUUUGCAAAGGGAAGACAAGGAAAUGAGGGAUGCCAUAGACACAAAGAACCAUGCUAACUCAGUUUUGUACCAUACUAGAAGCAACUAAAAGAGCUGGGAGACAAUGUUCCUAGCUAGACAAGGAGAAUGUAGAGGCUAAAGUGAAUUCACCCAAGCCAUUAAAGAUGCAAUGGAUCUACCCAAGCCAUUAAAGAUGUAAUGGCUGUCCUGAAUCAAGAAAUUAUAUAACUGUGGUAGUCAAUGUUGAUAUGAAUUAGAAUUGGAUUGUCUAUUAACUUUUUUCGGAUUGACUUCUUUGCAUGGACGGCAACUAUUGUUUAGCCUUGAAUUAUGUUAGAGUUGAGAGAGAACUCUUUGAUAUAGAGUUAUUUGGGUGUAUUGGGGUUUGGGUUUGUGAGUGGUUCUACACCACCUUUGUACUCUCCAUAUUUGUUAGUGAAACUUUCUCCUUGUCGCCGCCCGUGGAUGUAAGCCGAAGGCCGAACCACGUAAA